AGUGAACGCUGGCGGUAGGCCUAACACAUGCAAGUCGAACGGCAGCACAGGAGAGCUUGCUCUCUGGGUGGCGAGUGGCGGACGGGUGAGGAAUACAUCGGAAUCUACUUUUUCGUGGGGGAUAACGUAGGGAAACUUACGCUAAUACCGCAUACGACCUACGGGUGAAAGCAGGGGAUCUUCGGACCUUGCGCGAUUGAAUGAGCCGAUGUCGGAUUAGCUAGUUGGCGGGGUAAAGGCCCACCAAGGCGACGAUCCGUAGCUGGUCUGAGAGGAUGAUCAGCCACACUGGAGAUGAGACACGGUCCAGACUCCUACGGGAGGCAGCAGUGGGGAAUAUGGGACAAUGGGCGCAAGCCUGAUCCAGCCAUACCGCGUGGGUGAAGAAGGCCUUCGGGUUGUAAAGCCCUUUUGUUGGGAAAGAAAUCCAGCUGGUUAAUACCCGGUUGGGAUGACGGUACCCAAAGAAUAAGCACCGGCUAACUUCGUGCCAGCCGCCGCAGUAA
rnacentral:rRNA from 1 species